GUGCUUGCUUUGGCAACACAUAUACUAAAUUUGAACGAUACAGAGAUUAGCAUGGCCCCUGCUCAAGGAUAAUACGUAAAUUCAUGAAGCGUUCCAUAUUUUU